GGGGGCGACAUGGCUUCGACGUGGGUAGCGAAACCGGAGGUGCAUGCCGAGGCGCAGCAGACCUCGCAAAUCCAGCUGCAACCAAUAUAGUUGCCAACGACGACAACUACGCACUAGCCGCUUAAACCCCGGUAGGGUGCCGUCUGACUGGAGCCGUGCUUGUGCGUCCAGCGUCCUCCGGGACAUUCAGGCGUCAAAUCUCACAAGAUCGUGCUGAAGCAUGUCCGGGGCGGAUGCACUAAAACUUUUCUGGAAUCGCCGACUUGCGCGCCACGUCGAUCGGGCAGCAACCGGUUAAAUAAAACAGAUCGACUAAGCAUGUAGAGCCGAUGGCGGAGUGCUUGCGGACGCGGGUUCGAUUCCCGCCGCCUCCACCA
rnacentral:tmRNA from 1 species